UGAAUGAUAGGGCUAGGUGUCGUUUUUCCACAUUAAUUAGGGCUUUUGUGAACUGUAAGGCAGGGUGAUAAUCUGACCAGCUGUUAUCUAUUCAUAGCCAAGCAAAAGAUUCUCAUCAGAAAAACUUCCAGAUGGUAGGAUGCACCUUUUUUAAGGACAAGAGGAGAAGCUCACAGUGUUGACUGGAUUCCCCUACUGCCCUGGAAAAAACUGAAAAGAGAUCCUGGUUAGAAGCAGUCACUGGUGGAGUGGAAAAGAAAGCAGAAGCCCUUAGAAGAAAAGGAUAGGCUGAAAACAUAAAAUAUUGGAUUAAAAUUAAGAAGCUACUCCGACAUGAUCUAUUAAGAGCUCUGAAUGAUGCCUAAGGAUGUAGAAGAAGAGAAAAACACUUGACUCUUGGACGAAGGAGAGACCUCACUGAAGCUUCGGAUUCGCUUAGAGACCCAGGAAAUAGAGAGCACUGGUGGAGGUGAAGCGUCUGGAAGCCUGAAGACGGCUCUAGAUGCCCCUUGUCCCUUAGAGUCCUGAUAUGGCCUCGAAUGAAAAGAGACAACACCCCUUUUCUCCAGUGAUAAACACUCUGCACACACCAUCUUCCCUCCCUUUCCUUAGUGUGGAGAUGUGUGUUUGCUCUUCCCUUUAUCUGCACCUCUUGGUCAUACUGUCUUGUGAGAAUCUGUAAUUUAGUAAUUAGCCACUGUCUUGGCUUCAGAAUUAUUUCUAUUAGGGAAAUAGUUUAGUGUUUGAUUUGUGUCUUUUAUGUCCACUUAGCACUUGAAUUAUUUAAUUACCUAAGUUUAAGGUUUAGGUUGAUACAGUUUUGCUUGUCCCCAUUUCAGCGCUAAGGUAAAAGAGGCCUAGAGAGUUUUCACAAAUUAUCUCACAUUCUUACCUAGUGAGUAAGUUGAAAUUAUAACCUGUAUCUGAAUAGAAAAUAAAUUAAGUUUUUUCCCAAUUUGAGGCUGACAAAUACAUUAAUAUGAUGAAGUCAAAGAUGAUUUCAUCUCACCCCUUCUCCGGAAGUCGUAGAUGAACGUAUCCAGGACAUCUGAAAGAUUGUCCCUGUCACACUGCUUUCCCUAUGGGAAACAGCGUGAGGGAAAGGAAAUGAGUCCUGACCCUCCCUGGAGGAAAUGCUUAUACAUAUUUGGAAUCUGAGGGGCAGCUGCCAAUUUCACCUGGGGGCAGGAAGUACACACCUGUUAGCUACAUGGUUUUUAGAAUAGCCUGUAUUUGGCCAGAUUACAAGGAACACUGUUGUUAUGGCAUCAAAAAAGGAAGCUGAUUUACAUGCGAGUAAUCCUUAUUAAAGGGGAUUUUAGGAAGCUGGACACUUGAGAAAAGCAGGCAACUGUGAAAAGAAUAUAUCCUGCUUCCCUUUGUAAAAGCCAACAAUUACCCAAAUUGGGUUGGGAUUAGAUAAGGCAAUCUGUUGUAAUAGAGUUGAUAUCUGGGAAGGGAAAAGUUUGAGUUAUUCAGAGAUAAACCUCUUAUCAUGGUUCCCUUUCCUUGAUCAUCUUUAUCCUUUCACCCCACCCCUACCUUUAUACUAGUGGUUGCUGGUGGGUUGAGGAAGGAAUGACUUUGGAAGUGCUCCUUAACCAGGCUUUUGUCUGCAUUGUCCAAGGCUCAAGGCUUUCUCAUCAGCCGCCUUUCCUGCCCUGUCAUUAGUCCUAGUGGCAAAAGAGCCACAUUCUCAUGAACUGACCCAUGCAGCGAACAGGUCACCUCAGAUGGAGGCUUGCUGCUUUGUUUAAAGGCUACCCAGAUUCCCAGAUGUUGAGGCAAGAGGCAAAUAUGUGGGCACACUUUCAUUGCUCUUUAGUUUGUUUUUUGAGCAGUGGAAGAAAUGCGGUUCCACCUGCUGGCUGAGUGCAUGGUUUCAAGUGGGCAUGGUGGAUUCUGACGUUUUCCUGUUACAACUGCAAAAAGAGUCUCUGUGAGAGAAACUGUAAAUUCUCUCUGAAUGUUACUAGAGUUUAGGGAGAAUAAGUAUUUUUUCCCCCUCUUUUUAUAUUUCCCCUUCACUUAUGCUUAAAAAUAGGUAAUUGGAGCAGGGCUGCAAAGUGUAAUCUUGCCCCAAGGCUAAGUUUGCCACCUAAUGACACAUGGUUGUUCUUUACUGAGGCAGUCUAGUACUCAUUAUCCCUAAAUUAGCUCCCUUUUCUCUUUUGCUUUAUUAUUCAUCCACCUUCUUCAUUUGGAUUUUUCCAAGUGAACCAUGGCAAAGUGUGUCUUUGUGAGGUUGUGUGUCUGUGUAACAGUGUAUCUGUGUGAGUGAGUGAAUAGCCCCCACACCAUUCCCCUCAUUUACAUUGCUUAUUGAAGCCACAGCAGUGGAACAUGGACAAAAAUCUUUGGUAUUGAUCCCUUCAUAAUGAUCUCACAUCCAUCCAGGGAAAAAAAAUCUAGCUAAAAGUAGAAGCUGAAAUUCAGUUGCAAAGUUCUAUUGUCACAGCCUGAUGCAAGCAGCUCAAGCUCAAGAGACAAUUCCUCUAAGUUGAAACUGGCUUUUGAAAGAACUGGCUGAAAGUGUCUGUGUAAAAGUAUAAAUAAGUCAUUUACAUCCUGUUCUGUCAAGAGAAAAGUUUCAUACAUUAUAUCCAGUUAGACUUGUAACAUAAGGUAAAGAUAAGAAAGUGCUCAUGUGGCCUUCAUUGUUCAGACCUGGGUUGAAAUCCCACUUUACCCCUGGUAACCUAUCAUUACUUAGCCUGUCUGCGUCUCACUUUUCUCACCUCAAAUAGGGAUAAUAUCAACUUUACAAGUUUGUGGUGAGAAUCCAAAGAGAUGAUAUUCAAGAUGCUUAAUAUACUUUUGUUAUGUUGUAGACAACAGAUUAUAUUAAAAAUUUGCCAUCCUUUUUGAUUUGCUUAUA